GCCCGCUUAGAUGAGGGUUUCCCCCUGCCACUUCUGGACAGAAUUCAGCUCUCCAAUAUCCUUGUGAGGUUCCACCAGAAUUUCCUGCUGCUUGGAGCAGACGUUCGCUUCCAGCCCCGGCGAUGAAGAUGAGGCAAUGAGAGCCCUUCAGCAGUAAAUCUGCUCCAUUCACCACUUUGCCCUUCCCUGCCUGAGCCAAAGACCACCAGUCCUGCCACUGUCCUGCACUGCUGCCUUGGCCUGCACCCUCCAUCCUCCUGCUGGGGCCUCACCUGGUGCUACCAUGAGCUGGGGGUCCCCUGCCGUGGGCCACCCCCUUCCCUCCUCCCUCUGAGCAGCAAUAAAGGCGUUGGUGCUGGG